AAUAACCACUCAUUUAUAAAAGAAGGCUACUAAAUCCACAGGAGAGCAAGCUAAGUGGAAUUUCACUUUGUAAUCCCAAAGUGAAAUUCUACUUGGGCUGCUGUCCUACCCACAAACAAAAUUAAGUCCCACUGAAAUUAAUAAUAUGUAUUUCCAGGUUGAUUAGUCAGGAUGAGGACAUUAAUUCACAGCCCUUCAAAGUCCAUAUUCUUCAGAUGAUAGUUUUAAAAGGAGGUGGAAAUCAAGUUAUAACAUCUGGUCACCCUGCACCCAACAGAUGGCCAUCCAGCUUCUCUGAACCUUCUCCUCUCCACAUACCCAGCUUCCAAAGCUGUUCUACAUAGGGCAUGGCUUCCAUACCUUUCACCAUUUUGGUUGCCCUCCUCUGGACACAUUCCAGCUUGACAAUAUCCUUCUUCAGUUGUGGUGACCAUAAUUGGACACAGUACUGUAUUGCAGCAGAUCUUUCUGGCUUUAUCUAAUCUCUGGAAAAUUAAACCCCUUUAUGUGGGAGAUUUAGGGUUCUGAAUCCAAAAGUGAUUGAAUACAUAUGUGAAAGGACACCUGCUCUCUAUCAUCUGCAACCUUGAAAAGAAGCAGGAACAACUGGGUCUGUUAGCACUCAGCAUUACAGACUCCAACUUUCUUGAUACUGCUGAUGAUCUCUGAGCACAGACUUAAAGGUGAAAAAUGGGAAGAGACCUUUGCCAACUGUUCCCUCUCCAAACACUGCUGAGAGUUCCCAAGGCAAUUCAACUCUUAACUUGUGAAACUUUGUGUGAUGAUAUAUAAUGUACUUUGGAUUCAAAGCAGAAUUCCUUUUCCUCUAUAUACACUGGGCUAUUUAUAA